rnacentral:rRNA from 1 species
ACAAGAAAUAAUCUGUCUUAGGUUAAUAUAUUGAAUUUAACUUUUGAGUGAAAAGGCUUAAAUAAUCUGAAGGGACGAUAAGACCCUAUAAAACUUUAUAUUGAAAAGUGGUAGGUAUAACUUGUUUAAAGAUUAUUACUUUAAAGUAUUUGGUUGGGGUGACAAAAAUAGAAUGGAAAGUAACUGUUUUUUUUUUUUACAGUGAUGUUUGAGUUAAUGAUCCUAAAAUGGAUUAAAGAUUAAGUUACUUUAGGGAUAACAGCGUAAUUUUCUUUAAGAGUUCUUAUCGAUAAGAAAGUUUGCGACCUCGAUGUUGAAUUAAAGGUUCUUUAUGGAGUAGAGACUAUAAAAGAAGGUCUGUUCGACC